UUCCUACGGGUGGCUGCAGUGGGGAAUCUUGGACAAUGGGCGCAAGCCUGAUCCAGCCAUGCCGCGUGAGUGAUGAAGGCCCUAGGGUUGUAAAACUCUUUCGGCCGGGAAGAAAUCGCGCCAGCUAAUACCUGGUGUGGAUGACGGUACCGGAAGAAGAAGCACCGGCUAACUACGUGCCAGCAGCCGCGGUAAUACGUAGGGUGCGAGCGUUAAUCGGAAUUACUGGGCGUAAAGCGUGCGCAGGCGGCUCUAUAAGACAGAUGUGAAAUCCCCGGGCUUAACCUGGGAACUGCGUUUGUGACUGUAGGGCUUGAGUGCGGCAGAGGGGGGUGGAAUUCCACGUGUAGCAGUGAAAUGCGUAGAGAUGUGGAGGAACACCGAUGGCGAAGGCAGCCCCCUGGGUCGACACUGACGCUCAUGCACGAAAGCGUGGGGAGCAAACAGGAUUAGAUACCCUAGUAGUCAC
rnacentral:rRNA from 1 species